CCGCAUGAGGGAUAGUAGUAAAAAUCCUUCUAUUUUUCUUUAAAAAUAGAAGAUUGUAACGAAUAGCCCGACCCGCU
rnacentral:sRNA from 2 species